UUAGUUGAAGAGAGAGAGACGCGGUGGAGGAUCAGAGACCCUCAGUGAUACUCAUAUGCCUCUGAUAUUAUAGGGAAUUAUUAUGGGAAUUCAUUAACGCUCGUUAUCGAUCCACGUGCGCGUUCUUGAAUAACACUCGUGAUCCGGUUUCAUCGGCUGGGAAUAAACUUUCACAUUCCUGUUGUUAUUUAUCAUCCUUUAUUCAUAAGGACAAAGUGGAUCUGGUGGAUUACAGGUUUGAGUGGCAGAAAUGAGGGAGAGGUUCGCGUUUCAUCUUCUCAUCUUCGUGUUGACGCUGUUUUGGCACACCAGGUCAGUGUCCGCAGAUGCCACAACAGAUGCCUUCAAAAAUAACAUCACCCUGUUCACACGCAUCCUGGACCGCCUACUGGAUGGCUACGACAACCGGCUGAGACCCGGACUGGGAGG